UUUACAUUUUUUGUGCAGUUUGGGUUGUAUUUUGUAGGCAGUUUAUUCUGCUUAAUUCUGGUAAAUAUGUUAUAAUUGAACGUGUCGUGAGGUGAAAGCCGACAGAUUUGAAUUGUGAUUCGGCAGGAGUGAUAGUUUUUCCUUAUAUAGGCGACUAAUAUGCAUGGCCGAUAAGAAAAUCAUCCUGGUCUACAAGCGGCCUGAAUAGCAGAACAAACAGGUCGAACCUACAGACGACGACAUUCUUCAUCUAGAUUCAGGUCCAGAUCGCAAUCUCGACGUCGCACAACGUAUGGCAAAGAUGGGUCAAAUGUUAGCGAUGAUGUGAAUGAUCUCAUGAUGGCUUGGUUGCUGCUGUUGCUACUCGAAAAGCCACGCAAAUGGCAAGUACAAACAGCGCGGAACAACAGGACAAAAAAGAUGACAUUACUGCACAGUUAUUCUUGGAAAGUGCUUUAAGACAUCCUGGAUCAGGCCAGAACUGAAGCUGAUGCCGAUAUUCUUGCGAACUUGUGUGCAGCUGGUGUCACGGCCGGUGGUAGUCUGGCUGUCUCUACCACAAAAAGGGCCUAGUGAACGAAGUUGUGUCCUAGUGAAUUGAUGUGUGAUUGUAGCGAAUAGGGCUUUAUUACAGAAGAGUCGACUCGACUCGCCCAUGUAUUUCAAAUUAGGCGAGUUGCUCUUAGUAGUUACUGUAAUAUGGCCCUAUGAUGUGAGAAUUCUCGUCAUGUACUUUGUGAGUAGAAGAUGAUGAAAAAUAAAAUACAGUUGCUAAACCAUA